rnacentral:rRNA from 1 species
UCAAGUAGAGAAGGGCGCACGGUGAAUGCCUAGGCACUGGAAGCCGAUGAAGGACGUGACAAACGACGAAAUGCUUCGGGGAGCGGUAAGUACGCAGAGAUCCGGAGAUAUCCGAAUGGGGGAACCCGGCACCGCGAGGUGUCACCUUGAAUGUGAAUAGAUAGCAUUAAGGAGGAAGACGCAGUGAACUGAAACAUCUAAGUAGCUGCAGGAAGAGAAAGAAAGAUCGAUUUCCCAAGUAGCGGCGAGCGAACAGGAAAGAGCCCAAACCUAAUGGCUUGCCAUUAGGGGUAGAAGGACUGUAAAAAGCCGAAUGGAAGGAUAGCAGAAUUAUCUGGGAAGAUAAGCCAAAGAGGGUGAGAGCCCCGUAAGCGAAAUCCGGAAACGAGGUGAGCAGGAUCCUGAGUAGGUCGGGACACGAGGAAUCCCGAUUGAAUCCGCGAGGACCAUCUCGCAAGGCUAAAUACUAACCAGUGACCGAUAGUGAACCAGUACCGUGAGGGAAAGGUGAAAAGAACCCCGGGAGGGGAGUGAAAGAGAACCUGAAACCGUGUGCCUACAAGUAGUCAGAGCACGUUAAAGUGUGAUGGCGUGCCUUUUGUAGAAUGAACCGGCGAGUUGCGUUGUGGUGCAAGGUUAAGUCAGAAAAGACGGAGCCGAAGCGAAAGCGAGUCUGAAGAGGGCGAGAUAGUAUCAUGACGCAGACCCGAAACCAAGUGACCUACCCAUGACCAGGUUGAAGGCGUGGUAAAACACGCUGGAGGACCGAACCCACGCAAGUUGAAAAUUGCGGGGAUGAGUUGUGGGUAGCGGUGAAAUUCCAAACGAACUUGGAGAUAGCUGGUUCUCUCCGAAAUAGCUUUAGGGCUAGCCUCGUGUGAAUGAUAAUGGAGGUAGAGCACUGUUUGGACUAGGGGCCCGUCAGGGGUUACUGAAUCCAGAUAAACUCCGAAUGCCAGAUAUCAAUGCACGGGAGUCAGACUGCGAGUGAUAAGAUCCGUAGUCGAAAGGGAAACAGCCCAGAUCACCGGUUAAGGUCCCAAAAUCUAUGCUAAGUGGAAAAGGAUGUGGAGUUGCACAGACAACUAGGAUGUUGGCUCAGAAGCAGCCACCAUUUAAAGAGUGCGUAAUAGCUCACUAGUCGAGUGACGCUGCGCCGAAAAUUUACCGGGGCUAAGCAUAGUACCGAAACCGUGGAUGCAGUUAACUGCGUGGUAGGAGAGCGUUCUAAAGGCGGAGAAGGCAGAUCGAGAGGACUGUUGGAGCGUUUAGAAGUGAGAAUGCCGGUAUAAGUAGCGAAAGACAGGUGAGAAUCCUGUCCGCCGAAAGACUAAGGUUUCCUGGGGCAGGCUCGUCCGCCCAGGGUAAGUCGGGACCUAAGGUAAGGCCGAGAGGCGUAGCCGAUGGACAACAGGUAGAUAUUCCUGUACUAUUCGUAAUCGAUAAGAGCGAAGGAGGGACGCAGGAGGCUAAUGACGCAUGGAGAUGGAAUCAUGUGUAAGCGUUAAGGGAGGAUACGAGUCAAAUGCUUGUAGCCAAUUUUGAGACGUGAUGCGGAGUGAAAUCAAAGUAGCGAAGGUCAUGAAGUCACACUGCCAAGAAAAGCUUCUAGCCAGAGAGCGAGUACCCGUACCGCAAACCGACACAGGUAGUCGAGGAGAGAAUCCUCAGGUGAGCGAGAGAACUCUCGUUAAGGAACUCGGCAAAAUAACCCCGUAACUUAGGGAGAAGGGGUGCUGAAGAGAAAUCAGCCGCAGUGAAGAGGCCCAAACAACUGUUUAUCAAAAACACAGGUAUCUGCAAAAUCGUAAGAUGACGUAUAGGUACUGACACCUGCCCGGUGCUGGAAGGUUAAGAGGAUAGCUUAGCGUAAGCGAAGGUUAGAAUUGAAGCCCCAGUAAACGGCGGCCGUAACUAUAACGGUCCUAAGGUAGCGAAAUUCCUUGUCGGGUAAGUUCCGACCUGCACGAAAGGCGCAACGACUUGGGCGCUGUCUCGACCAUGGACCCGGUGAAAUUGCACUGGUCGUGAAGAUGCGACUUACCCGCGGAAGGACGGAAAGACCCCGUGAACCUUCACUGCAGCUUGGCAUUGGCCGCUGGUCCCGCGUGUAGAGGAUAGGCAGGAGGCGCAGAUCCGGAGGCGCCAGCCCCCGGGGAGCCGCCCUUGGAAUACUGCCCUCGCGCGACCGGCGUCCUAACCCGAGGCCGUCGACCGGCUCGGGGACCGUGCCAGGCGGGCAGUUUGACUGGGGCGGUCGCCUCCUAAAGGGUAACGGAGGCGCGCGAAGGUCCGCUCGGGACGGUCGGCAACCGUCCUUUUGAAUGCAAGAGUACAAGCGGGCUUGACUGCGAGGCCCACAAGCCGAGCAGGUGCGAAAGCAGGCUCUAGUGAUCCGGCGGCCCCGAGUGGGUGGGCCGUCGCUCAACGGAUAAAAGGUACUCCGGGGAUAACAGGCUGAUCUUGCCCAAGAGUCCACAUCGACGGCAAGGUUUGGCACCUCGAUGUCGGCUCAUCGCAUCCUGGGGCUGGAGCAGGUCCCAAGGGUACGGCUGUUCGCCGUUUAAAGCGGUACGCGAGCUGGGUUCAGAACGUCGUGAGACAGUUCGGUCCCUAUCCUCCGUGGGCGCAGGAGAAUCGAUGGAGGCUGCCCCCAGUACGAGAGGACCGGGGUGGACGCACCUCCGGUGAACCGGUUGUCGACCAACGGCACGGCCGGGUAGCCGCGUGCGGCGCGGAUAACCGCUGAAGGCAUCUAAGCGGGAAGCCGUUCCAGGGAUUAGUUCUCCUUCCGGUAAGGGCCCAGGUAGACUACCUGGUCGAUAGACGGCAGGUGCAAGGACGGCGACGUCCUCAGCCGAGCCGCACUAAUCGCCCGAGCUCUUCCGGAA